rnacentral:rRNA from 1 species
GUGGGGAAUAUUGGACAAUGGGCGAAAGCCUGAUCCAGCCAUGCCGCGUGUGUGAAGAAGGUCUUCGGAUUGUAAAGCACUUUAAGUUGGGAGGAAGGGCAGUAAGUUAAUACCUUGCUGUUUUGACGUUACCAACAGAAUAAGCACCGGCUAACUUCGUGCCAGCAGCCGCGGUAAUACGAAGGGUGCAAGCGUUAAUCGGAAUUACUGGGCGUAAAGCGCGCGUAGGUGGUUUUGUAAGUUGGAGGUGAAAUCCCCGGGCUCAACCUGGGAACUGCCUCCAAAACUGCAUGACUAGAGUACAGUAGAGGGUAGUGGAAUUUCCUGUGUAGCGGUGAAAAGCGUAGAUAUAGGAAGAAACACCAGUGGCGAAGGCGACUACCUGGACUGAUACUGACACUGAGGUGCGAAAGCGUGGGGAGCAAACAGGAUUAGAUACCCCUGUAGUCC